rnacentral:rRNA from 1 species
GACAGAGGGUGCAACCGUUGCUCGGAAUUACUGGGCGUAAAGCGCGUGUAGGUGGAUUGGUGUGUCAGAUGUGAAAGCCCUGGGCUCAACCCAGGAAUUGCACCUGAAACUACCAGUCUUGAGUGGUGGAGAGGGAAGUGGAAUUCCUGGUGUAGAGGUGAAAUUCGUAGAUAUCAGGAGGAACACCAGUGGCGAAGGCGGCUUCCUGGACACCAACUGACGCUGAGACGCGAAAGCGUGGAGAGCAAACAGG